rnacentral:rRNA from 1 species
GACGAACGCUGGCGGCGUGCCUAAUACAUGCAAGUUGAGCGCUGAAGGUUGGUACUUGUACCAACUGGAUGAGCAGCGAACGGGUGAGUAACGCGUGGGGAAUCUGCCUUUGAGCGGGGGACAACAUUUGGAAACGAAUGCUAAUACCGCAUAAAAACUUUAAACACAAGUUUUAAGUUUGAAAGAUGCAAUUGCAUCACUCAAAGAUGAUCCCGCGUUGUAUUAGCUAGUUGGUGAGGUAAAGGCUCACCAAGGCGAUGAUACAUAGCCGACCUGAGAGGGUGGUCGGCCACAUUGGGACUGAGACACGGCCCAAACUCCUACGGGAGGCAGCAGUAGGGAAUCUUCGGCAAUGGACGCAAGUCUGACCGAGCAACGCCGCGUGAGUGAAGAAGGUUUUCGGAUCGUAAAACUCUGUUGGUAGAGAAGAACGUUGGUGAGAGUGGAAAGCUCAUCAAGUGACGGUAACUACCCAGAAAGGGACGGCUAACUACGUG